rnacentral:tRNA from 1 species
UGCGGAGUGGAGCAGUGGCAGCUCGCCGGGCCCAUGACCCGGAGACCGGUGGUUCGAUUCCACCCUCCGCAUCCG